CUGCUAUGCCGCCAUUUCUUGGGACACCUUUGGAUUCACCGUGAAAACGAUGAUUCUCUGAGCAGC